UACAGAGGGUGCGAGCGUUAAUCGGAAUUACUGGGCGUAAAGGGCGCGUAGGCGGUUAGUUAAGUUAGAUGUGAAAUCCCUGGGCUUAACCUAGGAACUGCAUCUGAUACUGGCUAGCUAGAGUGCAGUAGAGGGUAGUGGAAUUUCCGGUGUAGCGGUGAAAUGCGUAGAUAUCGGAAGGAACACCAGUGGCGAAGGCGGCUACCUGGACUGACACUGACGCUGAGGCGCGAGAGCGUGGGGAGCAAACAGG
rnacentral:rRNA from 1 species